CUCGUCGAUCAUUUAUCUUUUGGAAGUGGCGGUGGUAGCGGUGGCAGUGGGGGGGGGGGGAGAUAGGCAAACGCACACCUCAGCAAAACUCUCACUUCAUCUCCCCGUUUUUUGCGUUCUCAGCAAUUUUUUCUUCUCAAUCCAAUAGAAAAAGAAAAA
rnacentral:lncRNA from 1 species